AUUGUACCAUGGAUUUGUCGGAAAAUCCGGCACAAAGUUGGGGACAGCCCAGUCAGAAGAUCAUGAGGUGAAGCUAAUGGACCAUCUGUGAUGAUUGGGUGAGAUCGUGGAUGAGAGAAAUGAAGCUGUCUGAACAACUUCGUCCUCUACGGAACCCAUACUGAAUUUGAGGAAUGAUGUUAUGAGAUUCUGCGUACCAAUCCAGGCGGUUCUUUAGCAUAUUUUCAAAUAUCUUACCAAUACAUGAUGAUAAAGAUAUUGGCCGAUAAGAACUGGCCUCCUCUGGUGGUUUAUCUUGUUUAAGUAUGGGUAUCACACAUUGAGUCUUCCAUGAGAUUGGUAUCAGUUUUUUAAGCCAAAGACAAUUUAAAAUACACAGUAAUAUUUUUUGGAUAGAUUC